rnacentral:rRNA from 1 species
GACAGAGGUGCCGAGCGUUAGGCGGAAUCACUGGGCUUAAAGCGUGUGUAGGCGGGCGAUCAAGUACCUUGUGAAAUCCCACGGCUCAACCGUGGAACCGCUGGGUAUACUGGUUGUCUUGAGCCGGCUAGGGGCGAGCGGAACAGACGGUGGAGCGGUGAAAUGCGUUGAUAUCUACAGGAACUCCGGUGGCGAAAGCGGCGUGCUGGACCUUUUCUGACGCUGAGGCGCGAAAGCUAGGGGAGCAAACGGG